rnacentral:rRNA from 1 species
AGAGUUUGAUCCUGGCUCAGGAUGAACCUUUGCGGUGUGCCUAAUACAUGCAAGUCGAACGGUGACUAUUUUGUAGCAAUACGAAUGAAAUCAUAGUGGCGAACGGGUGAGUAACGCGUUGGUGAUCUGCCUCGAAGUGUGGAAUAACUUCCCGAAAGGGUAGCUAAUACCGCAUAGUCUCUCAAGGUUUAAAAAAUCGAGAGUAAAGGAUUUAUUCGCUUCGAGAGGAGCCUGCGUCCCAUCAGCUAGUUGGUAGGGUAAUAGCCUACCAAGGCAAUGACGGGUAGGGGACCUGAGAGGGUGGCCCCCCACAAUGGAACUGAAACACGGUCCAUACACCUACGGGUGGCAGCAGUAGGGAAUAUUAGAAAUGGGCGAAAGCCUGAUCUAGCAACACCGCGUGCGCGAUGAAGGCCUUCGGGUUGUAAAGCACUUUUUGGAGGGAAUAGGAAGGAAGGUACCUCCAGAAUAAGUCUCGGCUAACUACGUGCCAGCAGCCGCGGUAACACGUAGGAGGCAAACGUUAUCCGGAUUCACUGGGCGUAAAGCGCGUGUAGGUGGUUCUGUAAGUAGGGCGUGAAAGCUCCCGGCUCAACUGGGAGAGGCCGUACUAAACUGCAGAGCUAGAGGAUGGUAGAGGGAGGUGGAAUUCCAGGUGUAGUGGUGAAAUGCGCAGAUAUCUGGAGGAACACCAGUGGCGAAGGCGGCCUCCUGGACCAUUCCUGACACUCAGACGCGAAAGCUAGGGUAGCAAACGGAAAGAGAGACUCCGGUAGUCCUAGCCCUAAACGAUGCAGACUAGGCGUCGGCGGUUUAAUCACCGUCGGUGUCCAAGCUAACGCGAUAAGUCUGCCGCCUGAGGACUACGGCCGCAAGGCUAAAACUCAAAGGAAUUGACGGGUCCCCGCACAAGCAGCGGAGCGUGUGGUUUAAUUCGAGGCAACGCGAAGAACCUUACCCGGUCUUGACAUCUGUGGAAUUCUUCAGAGAUGAGGGAGUGCCGGUUUACCGGAGCCACAAGACAGGUGCUGCAUGGCUGUCGUCAGCUCGUGUCGUGAGAUGUUGGGUUAAGUCCCGCAACGAGCGCAACCCCUGCUUUCAGUUACCAUCAUUAAGUUGGGGACUCUGGAAGGACCGCUGCGGUAACAACGCAGAGGAAGAUGGGGACGAUGUCAAGUCAUCAUGGUCCUUAUGACCGGGGCUACACACGUGCUACAAUGGCAAUUACAGAGGGAAGCGAAGUCGCAAGGCGGAGCGAAUCUCAUAAAAAUUGCCUCAGUUCGGAUUGAGGUCUGCAACUCAACCUCAUGAAGCUGGAAUCGCUAGUAAUCGCGCAACAUCAUGGCGCGGUGAAUACGUUCCCGGGCCUUGCACUCACCGCCCGUCA